rnacentral:rRNA from 1 species
GCUCAGAGUGAACGCUGGCGGUAGGCCUAACACAUGCAAGUCGAACGGCAGCACAGUAAGAGCUUGCUCUUAUGGGUGGCGAGUGGCGGACGGGUGAGGAAUACAUCGGAAUCUACCUUUUCGUGGGGGAUAACGUAGGGAAACUUACGCUAAUACCGCAUACGACCUUCGGGUGAAAGCAGGGGACCUUCGGGCCUUGCGCGGAUAGAUGAGCCGAUGUCGGAUUAGCUAGUUGGCGGGGUAAAGGCCCACCAAGGCGACGAUCCGUAGCUGGUCUGAGAGGAUGAUCAGCCACACUGGAACUGAGACACGGUCCAGACUCCUACGGGAGGCAGCAGUGGGGAAUAUUGGACAAUGGGCGCAAGCCUGAUCCAGCCAUACCGCGUGGGUGAAGAAGGCCUUCGGGUUGUAAAGCCCUUUUGUUGGGAAAGAAAAGCAGUCGGUUAAUACCCGGUUGUUCUGACGGUACCCAAAGAAUAAGCACCGGCUAACUUCGUGCCAGCAGCCGCGGUAAUACGAAGGGUGCAAGCGUUACUCGGAAUUACUGGGCGUAAAGCGUGCGUAGGUGGUUGUUUAAGUCUGUUGUGAAAGCCCUGGGCUCAACCUGGGAAUUGCAGUGGAUACUGGGCGACUAGAGUGUGGUAGAGGGUAGUGGAAUUCCCGGUGUAGCAGUGAAAUGCGUAGAGAUCGGGAGGAACAUCCAUGGCGAAGGCAGCUANCCNGGACCA